GGCUCAGAACGAACGCUGGCGGCAGGCCUAACACAUGCAAGUCGAGCGCACCCUUCGGGGCGAGCGGCGGACGGGUUAGUAACGCGUGGGAACAUACCCUUUGGUACGGAAUAGCCUCUGGAAACGGAGAGUAAUACCGUAUGUGCCCUUCGGGGGAAAGAUUUAUCGCCAAAGGAUUGGCCCGCGUUAGAUUAGAUAGUUGGUGGGGUAAUGGCCUACCAAGUCUACGAUCUAUAGCUGGUUUUAGAGGAUGAUCAGCAACACUGGGACUGAGACACGGCCCAGACUCCUACGGGAGGCAGCAGUGGGGAAUCUUAGACAAUGGGCGCAAGCCUGAUCUAGCCAUGCCGCGUGUGUGAUGAAGGCCUUAGGGUCGUAAAGCACUUUCGCCAGGGAUGAUAAUGACAGUACCUGGUAAAGAAACCCCGGCUAACUCCGUGCCAGCAGCCGCGGUAAUACGGAGGGGGUUAGCGUUGUUCGGAAUUACUGGGCGUAAAGCGUACGUAGGCGGAUCAGAAAGUAAGGGGUGAAAUCCCAGGGCUCAACCCUGGAACUGCCUCUUAAACUCCUGGUCUUGAGUUCGAGAGAGGUGAGUGGAAUUCCGAGUGUAGAGGUGAAAUUCGUAGAUAUUCGGAGGAACACCAGUGGCGAAGGCGGCUCACUGGCUCGAUACUGACGCUGAGGUACGAAAGUGUGGGGAGCAAAC
rnacentral:rRNA from 1 species